UCUUUUUAUUAUCAUUCAUUUCAUUCAGAUGCAAGUUAAGUAGUGAAAUAUAGACCAAGAUUGGUCAAUGCAUACUCUCUCUAAGGGAACUAACCUGGUUGCAAAUUAAAUAUCAUAACUAAUUAACAUCUAAAGUUAAAAUAUCACAACAUAGACAAGCAAAUUAACAUCUAAAGUUAAAAUAUUAAAACUAAGCUUAAAUUUAAAAUUCACAAGUUUAACUAAUUACAAUCAUCUGAGUCUAAAUGCAAAUAAUCUAAGUCUAAAUGCAAGUAAAUAGAUUAAUUGUAUAACAUGUUUGAAUGAUAGUUUUAUAUUUGCUAGUUUCUAUUAUCAUGGAGCUUC
rnacentral:lncRNA from 1 species